rnacentral:rRNA from 1 species
AUUGAACGCUGGCGGCAGGCCUAACACAUGCAAGUCGAACGGUAACAGGAAGAAGCUUGCUUCUUUGCUGACGAGUGGCGGACGGGUGAGUAAUGUCUGGGAAACUGCCUGAUGGAGGGGGAUAACUACUGGAAACGGUAGCUAAUACCGCAUAACGUCGCAAGACCAAAGAGGGGGACCUUCGGGCCUCUUGCCAUCGGAUGUGCCCAGAUGGGAGUAGCUAGUAGGUGGGGUAACGGCUCCCCUAGGCGACGAUCCCUAGCUGGUCUGAGAGGGUGAUCAGCCGCACUGGAACGGGGACACGGACCAGACUACUACGGGAGGCAGCAGUGGGGAAUAUUGCACAAAGGGCGCAAGCCUGAUGCAGCCAUGCCGCGUGUAUGAAGAAGGCGUUCGGGUUGUAAAGUACUUUCAGCGGGGAGGAAGGGAGUAAAGUUAAUACCUUUGCUCAUUGACGGUACCCGCAGAAGAAGCACCGGCUAACUCCGUG